CUACCCUCAAGCUCCGGCUUGGUGUUGGAAGAUUUGGUUAUUUUUCCUUUUGGGAAACGGCCAAACUUCUGAAAUACAGCGGCGACAGUGCUUUCUGGCCGUCCCCUGCAAAGUAAAUUUAUACUGGCAGUUUUGGGAUCCAGGCAUGUGUUAGCCUCUAACAACCAAACUUUUCAAU
rnacentral:misc_RNA from 1 species